rnacentral:rRNA from 1 species
CGCGAAUGGAGCGGCCGAUGGCAGAUUAGGUAGUUGGUGAGGUAAAGGCUCACCAAGCCUUCGAUCUGUAGCUGGUCUGAGAGGACGACCAGCCACACUGGGACUGAGACACGGCCCAGACUCCUACGGGAGGCAGCAGUGGGGAAUUUUGGACAAUGGGCGCAAGCCUGAUCCAGCCAUGCCGCGUGCAGGAUGAAGGCCUUCGGGUUGUAAACUGCUUUUGUACGGAACGAAACGGCCUUUUCUAAUAAAGAGGGCUAAUGACGGUACCGUAAGAAUAAGCACCGGCUAACUACGUGCCAGCAGCCGCGGUAAUACGUAGGGUGCAAGCGUUAAUCGGAAUUACUGGGCGUAAAGCGUGCGCAGGCGGUAAUGUAAGACAGUUGUGAAAUCCCCGGGCUCAACCUGGGAACUGCAUCUGUGACUGCAUUGCUGGAGUACGGCAGAGGGGGAUGGAAUUCCGCGUGUAGCAGUGAAAUGCGUAGAUAUGCGGAGGAACACCGAUGGCGAAGGCAAUNCCCCUGGGCCUGUACUGACGCUCAUGCACGAAAGCGUGGGGA